rnacentral:rRNA from 1 species
UACGUAGGGUGCAAGCGUUGUCCGGAAUUAUUGGGCGUAAAGAGCUCGUAGGCGGUCUGUCGCGUCGGCUGUGAAAACCCGGGGCUCAACCCCGGGCCUGCAGUCGAUACGGGCAGACUAGAGUGUGGUAGGGGAGACUGGAAUUCCUGGUGUAGCGGUGAAAUGCGCAGAUAUCAGAAGGAACACCGGUGGCGAAGGCGGGUCUCUGGGCCAUAACUGACGCUGAGGAGCGAAAGCGUGGGGAGCGAACAGG